rnacentral:lncRNA from 1 species
UUAACAGAUAAUAUCCUGUGGACAAGUCUCUCAUGCACAAGACAAAGACACCUGAAGGAGGGAAAUUUCAUGGAGUUGGGAGUUUAGUCAUGAAUGAUUAAGAGGCCCUAUUCUUCUGCUAGAGAUCACCUCAAGGAAAGAUUCUGCUCUGAAAGACCACGUAAGGACAUAAGAAGAAGAUGGGCCAUGUGCAGAUGAAAAAGAGGGCCUUCAUCAGACAUUGAAUUGUUGGCACCUUGAUGUUGAACUUCCCAGCCUGCAGAACUGUGAGAAAUAAAUUUUUGUUUUUUAGUCUACCUUGUUUGUGAUAUUUGCUAUAGCAGACUGAACUAACUAUGACAUCUAUCUGAGAGUUGGACUUUGUUUAAUGUUUAUUGUAGCUGUGGUUGCCAGAAGUUUGUUUCUUCUAAAUUUUGCUUCCCCUUUUGUCUUUGGGUUUCCCUAAGAACUCUUUCUUAAGUAGAGUCUGUGUCUUACAGGUUUCACAGUUGCAACUCAGUUAUUAUCCUGGUGUCCUGGUGAUAUAGCACUAAGUUAUUGAGGAAUAAAAGCGUUCUAUAAUCUUAUAAUUAAAUCUCAGCUUUUUUUAGUUGGCAUGAGUCCCUGGGUUAUGAGCUCAGAAAUUUCUAUUAGCCUUUUUUUUCUCUUCUUCUCUUGACGUAAGACCGGAAGGUCUCUGGAGUUGAUUAGUUGCAUUUCCUUUAGGUUAGAUAAGGCUCUG